UGUUGAAUUCGAGGAUGUAGAGCUAAGAGCCUUGAGGUCCAAUAACUGUCAACUAGAAGUUAUAUUUUCUGUUGGGGAGAAAUCCCCAUAUGAUGGCAAUGACUUUGCAUUGGUAAGGGAAAGAAUACUUUCAUGCCUUCAUGGUUCUUGCCUUUUUUCUGUCUCACCAAAAUCAAGACUCAGGUCACGUGCACGUUUAUCAAGAAAACACCUUUUUUUCCCCCCAGAAAAUAAAAACGCCCUGGAAGACAAGUGUGAUGCAUUGAGGUCUGUGAAAGCCACAAAGGAAGCAAAAGUCAAACAGCUGAAGGAGAAAGCACAUAACCUGGAAGAAUUCUAUGAACAAAGAAAAGUGCCUACAAAAAAGAAGCUGAAAAUGACACUGUGAACUGGCGGCAAAGAAGAAUCAGCUGGCAGCUGCAGGCAACAAAUUGAACAAACAUGGCAACAGCUGCAGCAGGCAGAGCUCACCUUUAGAUACC